rnacentral:pre_miRNA from 1 species
AAUGAAAUUGCUGGAUUGUAUUUUAAGUGUAUGUUUAACUUUUUAACAGUCAGCCAAACAGUUUUUGAAAGUGACUGUACCAUUUUAUAUUUCCAGCAGGAGU